rnacentral:lncRNA from 1 species
GUCCGUUUUUAUGCAGGUAGUCCAGCCCCUCCAGCACCUCCUUGAGGAUCGUGGCUAUACAGGGCUCAUCCAGGACACCGGUCUUGUGUUCUCCUUUGGCCACAAUGUGCUUUAUAAUAUCCAAAACAGAACCUCCACUAAGUAACUUCAUCACCAGCCAAAGCUCAUCUUUCACCACAAACGAUGUGUAGUAAGAUACAAUGUUGGGAUGGUGGCACUGACUCAUUGCUUGAAUUUCUUUCAGGAGUUCAUCCAUGCUCGUCUGACACUUCUCAAGAUUGAUCCGUUUAAUUGCCACCUUCUCCUUCUUUGGAACACAGAAGGCUGCCUGCACCACAGCUGUCGCUCCGCUCCCGAUGACCUCCUGCAGCUCGUAGUCAUCCUUGUUGAUGGACCAGGGCAGCGCGCUGGGCUCCUCGGCCAUGGCCGCGCCGUGCCCGCGGCCCGCCCGCCCUCAGGGGGGGAGGCCCCACACGAGCAGAGAAGCGCUGCGCUGCCCCGCGCGACCCGGUCGCUCCGAAUCCGACCCUGAAUCAAACGCUGCCGACAACGGCUCCUUCAGCCCCACCACCUCCUUCUCCACCGCCGCCUGCCGCUACCGCCGGCC